GUAGUCUCGCACAGAUGCAUAUCAAUAAGCGGAGGAAAAGAAACUAACAAGGAUUCCCCUAGUAACGGCGAGUGAAGCGGGAAGAGCUCAAAUUUGAAAUCUUAAAGGGUUUCCCUUUACGAAUUGUAGUUUAAAGAAGUGUUUUCUGUUGAGGUUUUGGUAAAAGUUCUUUGGAAUAGGACAUCAUAGAGGGUGAGAAUCCCGUAUUUGACCUUUACUUUCAACUUUGUGAUACACUUUCAAAGAGUCGGAUUGUUUGGGAAUGCAGUCCAAAAUGGGUGGUAAAUUUCAUCUAAAGCUAAAUAUUGGCGAGAGACCGAUAGCGAACAAGUACCGUGAGGGAAAGAUGAAAAGAACUUUGAAAAGAGAGUUAAACAGUACGUGAAAUUGUCAAAAGGGAAGCGUUUGACACCAGUGUUGUUUUUCUGAAAAUCAAUUAAAGAACUGUUUAUGCUAAGUUGUCUAGACUUUAUCAGCUAACUGUUUAGUUUUGAGCUUUUCUUUAAUGCACUUUUCAGUUAACAAGUCAACAUCAAUUUCUUUUGCUGUAAAAAAGCUUGAGGAAGGUGGCUUGAGAUUCGUCUUAAGUGUUUAUAGCCUCUUGCCUAUGCAGUCGGAGAGAUUGAGGUCUGCAGCGUAGAUCCUUCGGGGCUAAAUGCAUUUGUGCUAAGUUAUAGCAUUUUAUAGACAACUUGUUGACUAUGAUUUGUCUUGUAGCUUACUCGCUUAUGUUAUUUUACCUACGCUUAGGAUGUUGACGCAUGAGAUAUACGC
rnacentral:rRNA from 1 species